CCCUUAUCGGGCAGGGAGACAGUGUCAGGUGGGCAGUUUGACUGGGGCGGUCGCCUCCUAAAAUGUAACGGAGGCGCCCAAAGGUUCCCUCAGAAUGGUUGGAAAUCAUUCGCAGAGUGUAAAGGCACAAGGGAGCUUGACUGCGAGACCUACAAGUCGAGCAGGGACGAAAGUCGGGCUUAGUGAUCCGGUGGUUCCGCAUGGAAGGGCCAUCGCUCAACGGAUAAAAGCUACCCCGGGGAUAACAGGCUUAUCUCCCCCAAGAGUCCACAUCGACGGGGAGGUUUGGCACCUCGAUGUCGGCUCAUCGCAUCCUGGGGCUGUAGUCGGUCCCAAGGGUUGGGCUGUUCGCCCAUUAAAGCGGUACGCGAGCUGGGUUCAGAACGUCGUGAGACAGUUCGGUCCCUAUCCGUCGCGGGCGCAGGAAAUUUGAGAGGAGCUGUCCUUAGUACGAGAGGACCGGGAUGGACGCACCGCUGGUGUACCAGUUGUUCUGCCAAGGGCAUCGCUGGGUAGCUAUGUGCGGACGGGAUAAGUGCUGAAAGCAUCUAAGCAUGAAGCCCCCCUCAAGAUGAGAUUUCCCAUUCCGCAAGGAAGUAAGAUCCCUGAAAGAUGAUCAGGUUGAUAGGUCUGAGGUGGAAGCGUGGUGACACGUGGAGCUGACAGAUACUAAUAGAUCGAGGACUUAACCUAU
rnacentral:rRNA from 1 species